rnacentral:rRNA from 1 species
UACGUAGGGGGCAAGCGUUGUCCGGAAUCAUUGGGCGUAAAGAGCGUGUAGGCGGCCCGGUAAGUCCGCCGUGAAAGUCCAGGGCUCAACCCCUGGAAUGCCGGUGGAAACUGCCGGGCUGGAGUCCGGAAGAGGCGAGUGGAAUUCCUGGUGUAGCGGUGAAAUGCGCAGAUAUCAGGAGGAACACCAAUGGCGAAGGCAGCUCGCUGGGACGGUACUGACGCUGAGACGCGAAAGCGUGGGGAGCAAACAGG